UGAAAACGUCAGAAAAAUGUUUUGAUUUCGAUUUCUUUUACUGUCGAUUUCGUAAUAUUGGCUUUGGUCAAUUUGCUUCCGAAAAAUUAAUUUCCAGACAUUUUCCUGUUCGAAUUUUGAAACAGAUAGGCAUACCUCUGUAAAUAUAGACCGCAGGGCGAUGCAAAAGAUCACCGAGGCCUGCUACCGAAUGCGAUCCGAUUGCAUGAAUGAUAAUAUUCAUGCCAGGAGUGGCAGUGUUGAAAAAGGAACUACCGCGAAUCAAGAUUGCUUUCCCGGAUUACUCGAUUUUCGGUCGAUCCAUCCGAAACGAUGUUAUCGGUGCAGCUGCGAUCAAAAGAUCCCAAAACAAACCAUUCGAAAGCUGAGACCGGUCGACAGGUGCUUUGCUGCUUAUCUCCCAAAUUGGUGGCGAAAUACGGAUCGAUUAUUUGCAAUACCUGAGAAACCCAAACAACUGGUCAGAAUUCGAAUAACGACAAAUAGAAGUGAUGAUCUACUACAAUGUGGUACAUGGAGAUUCUAUGAUACUGAAUGCAUUCAGAAAGCUACCCUCGAACCGUUAUCUUGGCUGUUUCAUUGCAGAAUAAUCUUCUUGGAAAUAGCCAAUCGUGAUUGCGCUUCAUCUGAGGCAUGGUACUGAGCGUGGCCCAUUGCCAUAUGCCAUUCCUUUAGAGGGUUAACUUGGAUCAAGAUAGGCAUACACAGGAAAAGUAUAAUGAGGCACCAGGAAACUUCAAGUUUGCUCUCCUGGCCGACAAAUGCUGCGGCUGGUUUUGAAAUAGUUGAAAAAAGAAAAGAUCGAAAGUUCUAGUCCUGUGCGGAUGAAGACCAGCCUUGUAAGCUUUCGUAUAGUCAACAUGCCAGAAACACUAGUUCAUCGGUGGAAUGAGUUCUGGACGCAAAACCCGUCACGACAAACAUCAGUACCAAAUAUUCUCAUAAACGAAGAUCUGAAAAUGUA